rnacentral:rRNA from 1 species
GAUGAACGCUGGCGGCGUGCCUAAUACAUGCAAGUCGAGCGAACGGACGAGAAGCUUGCUUUUCUGAUGUUAGCGGCGGACGGGUGAGUAACACGUGGAUAACCUACCUAUAAGACUGGGAUAACUUCGGGAAACCGGAGCUAAUACCGGAUAAUAUUUUGAACCGCAUGGUUCAAAAGUGAAAGACGGUCUUGCUGUCACUUAUAGAUGGAUCCGCGCUGCAUUAGCUAGUUGGUAAGGUAACGGCUUACCAAGGCAACGAUGCAUAGCCGACCUGAGAGGGUGAUCGGCCACACUGGAACUGAGACACGGUCCAGGCUCCUACGGGAGGCAGCAGUAGGGAAUCUUCCGCAAUGGGCGAAAGCCUGACGGAGCAACGCCGCGUGAGUGAUGAAGGUCUUCGGAUCGUAAAACUCUGUUAUUAGGGAAGAACAUAUGUGUAAGUAACUGUGCACAUCUCGACGGUACCUAAUCAGAAAGCCACGGCUAACUACGUG